rnacentral:rRNA from 1 species
AGCGAACGCUGGCGGCAGGCCUAACACAUGCAAGUCGAGCGCCCGUAGCAAUACGGGAGCGGCAGACGGGAGAGUAACACGUGGGAACGUACCCUUCAGUUCGGAACAACCCAGGGAAACUUGGGCUAAUACCGAAUACGUCCGUAAGGAGAAAGAUUUAUCGCUGAAGGAUCGGCCCGCGUCUGAUUAGCUAGUUGGUGAGGUAAUGGCUCACCAAGGCGACGAUCAGUAGCGGUCUGAGAGGAUGAUCAGCCUCAUUGGGACUGAGACACGGCCCAAACUCCUACGGGAGGCAGCAGUGGGGAAUAUUGGACAAUGGGCGGCAAGCCUGAUCCAGCCAUGCCGCGUGGAUGAUGAAGGCCUUAGGGUUGU